AAACGCGGAAACAAAAAGCCCUGGGUACGAGGUUGUAUUUAGAAAUCAGAGAAACAACACUUACGCCCGUAUUCUAAAAGCUCACUCACACGCAAUGAGUGGAGGUUCAAUCUAAGCUUCUCUUGAGUGUCAAUGCUGUUUUUGAAUAGCUGGAGGGUGAGCAAUCACAUAGUAAGGUACGGCACUACAUCUUCAGCUAUUCAACAUGAAAAGAAAAAAAAAAAAAAAUGUUUCGUCUCAAUAUAAUUAUAGAAAUACUAGACGUCUGUAAUUAGCGGUUGUCACCAUAGAUCACUUGUAUAUGCUG